CAGUUAAGUUCUAGAGACGAUCGGGGAGGUCAACUUUGAGCUGCAGCACCCUAUGUGUUCACGCAAUCGGAACGCCCGAAAUAUCACGCCAAUAUGAGGGACGCCCGAAAUAUGAAGCCAAUAUGUGAUUUAUGCCUUUUCUGUUAGGAUUAUCUCCCUUCUCCACAGCUAAUUGCUUGAUGUGUUCAAUGGUCCAGUUGAAUUGGAUACAAGCAUGCUACAAAUCUAACAGUAAUUUAAUAAGUUCAUUCUUCGCAAACAAGAAACUCUACAUGCUGUGGAGAACCACUUCUACAACAGAUUAGGUUACUUGGUGGGAAGAAAUUGGCAUGGGCCAAAACUCAGUCUGUCUCACGUGAGUUUACACUAUUACAAAAAAUUACUACAGAUGUAGAACAAGCCUGCGGGAAUUUUGCGUCUUGACUAUCUGUCAUAUUUUAUAACUGUCAUACUUUGUAGUGCUUAUAACGGGG
rnacentral:rRNA from 1 species